AGGCGUUGACGACCCACACCGUUUACACCUCUGACAAUAUCAUGGAACGGCAUCUAACGGUGAUUAAACCUAGCCGGAGCGACGAAGUUUUAGACGAAGAUGAGCAGCUGCGAAUCGCCAACCAGGUCAAAGCCUUGUUCGAUGCUCAAGCACCUAAAAGACUCGCCAAACCAAAUCGAAGCGAACCUGAUUCAGUCAUCCCCAAUUCCCCUUUAGAAGAUUUCCCUAUUCCAGAACUUGACAAUCUCCGAUCUCUUCAAUCACAGGGUGGUAGCUUUUUUCCGGAAACUAAUUGCUCGGAGCAAGACGAGUCCGUGGAAACUCAGUAUUACAAUGAGUUGGUUUCCAUUGACAAACAGCAUCACACGACUGGAAGUGGGUUCAUAAAGGUGGUCAAUCAAACGAAUGGAAACAUUUACGAUCUUCAGUUGAAUGGUGGUUAUGAGAAUGGUAGAGCCAAAGAGUUCAAAACUAAUCCGGCGACAAACGACUGGAUUCCGAGUAAUGAUGAUUAUCAGGUUGGAUUCACCUCCUCAAAACCCAGCCGGAGCGAAGGUGAUUAGAUCGAAAGUGAAGAAAGCAAUCAGAUGGUGAAGGUGGUUUGUUCUGUUCUCUUGAAUUCGUUUGUUUAUCUUGACUGAUUGAGAGAGAAAAAUGAGGGAUGCUAGGAUUUCAAGACAGUAAGUAGUUGAGUGUUGUCAUAUUGCCUAGUUUCUUUUUCUCCAAUGUGUAUUAAACGCCCAGAUUUGCUUUUCUUACCAGAGCUACUGUUUCUGCCCUAUUUUCUUUGAUUUACA
rnacentral:misc_RNA from 1 species